ACUCAAAUGAAUUGACGGGGGCCCGCACAAGCAGCGGAGCGUGUGGUUUAAUUCGAUGUUACACGAAGAACCUUACCCAGGUUUGACAUGUUGGUGGUAGGAAUCCGAAAGGUGACCGACCCGCAAGGGAGCCUUCACAGGUGCUGCAUGGCUGUCGUCAGCUCGUGUCGUGAGAUGUUCGGUUAAGUCCGCUAACGAGCGCAACCCUCGCCGUAUGUUACAUGUGUCAUGCGGGACCGCCGGUAUCAAGCCGGAGGAAGGUGGGGAUGACGUCAAGUCAGCAUGGCCUUUAUAUCUGGGGCUACACACACGCUACAAUGGCCGGUACAAUGGGUCGCUAAGCCGCAAGGUAGAGCCAAUCCCGCAAAGCCGGUCUCAGUUCAGAUCACAGGCUGCAACCCGCCUGUGUGAAGUUGGAGUUGCUAGUAAACGCGCGUCAGCUAUAGUGCGUUGAAUACGUUCUCGGGCCUUGUACACACCGCCCGU
rnacentral:rRNA from 1 species